GACGAACGCUGGCGGCGCGCCUAACACAUGCAAGUCGAACGAGCGAGAGGAGGUUUACUUUCUCAAGCGAGUGGCGAACGGGUGAGUAACGCGUGAGGAACCUGCCUCAAAGAGGGGGACAACAGUUGGAAACGACUGCUAAUACCGCAUAAGCCCACGACCCGGCAUCGGGUAGAGGGAAAAGGAGCAAUCCGCUUUGAGAUGGCCUCGCGUCCGAUUAGCUAGUUGGGGAGGUAAUGGCCCACCAAGGCGACGAUCGGUAGCCGGACUGAGGUGACGCACAGCGAAAGGGGGGCUGACCACAGGACAAGAGGACGAGGGGAGGCAGCGGGGGAGAAAACGGCACCAGGGGACACACGGGGAGGGGGCGGGGGCGCGUGGAGAAAGAUGGGCUGCGGUGUGAAAACUCUGGUGGUGGAGAAAGAUAAUGUCGUUACUAAAAAAGGAUGGGAUGGAGAAAUACGUGCAAGCCGCCGCAGAAAAAGAAGACCACACCACGCUUGCAC
rnacentral:rRNA from 1 species